rnacentral:tRNA from 1 species
GCUGGUGUAGCUCAGUGGUAGAGCACUCGCCUUGUAAGCGAGCGGUCGAGGGUUCAAAUCCGUCCACCAGCU